AGGCCGCAGUUUCAGGACCGCAGUUCUAGGACCCUAUUCUUUUGUAACAGUGCCACCUACCGAAUUCGAUCACUAAAGAUGGACGACAUGGACAGCAAUCAGAGCCAUCAUAUAUGCCCUGGCUGUCCUACGGAAUUUCUCAUUGCAGGAGGCUGAGCCGGUCUUCCUUUCUGGUCCGGAUUAUCAUUACAGGAGUUGAAGCCUUUCUGUCCAUGCAGCAACUG